UACAUGGGGUGCAAACGUUGCUCGGAAUUAUUGGGCGUAAAGCGCGCGUAGGCGGUUAUCUAAGUCGGAUGUGAAGGCCCUCGGCUUAACUGAGGAAGUGCACCCGAAACUGGAUAGCUAGAGUACGAAAGAGGGUCGCGGAAUUCCCGGUGUAGAGGUGAAAUUCGUAGAUAUCGGGAGGAACACCGGUGGCGAAGGCGGCGACCUGGGUCGAGACUGACGCUGAGGCGCGAAAGCGUGGGGAGCAAACAGG
rnacentral:rRNA from 1 species